rnacentral:rRNA from 1 species
GACGAACGCUGGCGGCGUGCUUAACACAUGCAAGUCGAACGGAAAGGCCCAGCUUGCUGGGUACUCGAGUGGCGAACGGGUGAGUAACACGUGGGUGAUCUGCCCUGCACUCUGGGAUAAGCCUGGGAAACUGGGUCUAAUACCGGAUAUGACCAACUGUCGCAUGGUGGUUGGUGGAAAGCUUUUGCGGUGUGGGAUGGGCCCGCGGCCUAUCAGCUUGUUGGUGGGGUAAUGGCCUACCAAGGCGACGACGGGUAGCCGGCCUGAGAGGGUGAUCGGCCAAAAUGGGAGUGAGACACGGCCCAGAGUCCUACGGGAGGCAGCAGUGGGGAAUAUUGCACAAUGGGCGCAAGCCUGAUGCAGCGACGCCGCGUGGGGGAUGACGGCCUUCGGGUUGUAAACCUCUUUCACCAGGGACGAAGCGUGAGUGACGGUACCUGGAGAAGAAGCACCGGCCAACUACGUGCCAGCCGCCGCAGUAAGAC